rnacentral:lncRNA from 1 species
ACUCAGCCUGGGUGACAGAGUGAGACUGUCUCAAAAGAAAGAAAGAAAAAGCUAUGAAUUGCCCCCGAUUGCUGAUUUAAUUGAAUUGUAAAAAUUCUGCCAUUUAUUGUUUUUUUCCCAGAGGUCAUGAGAUGGAGACCAUCCUGGCUAACAUGGUGAAACCCCGUCUCUACUAAAAAUACAAUAAAUUAGCUGGGUGUGGUGGGGCGGUGCCUGUAAUCCCAGCUACUUGGGAGGCUGACGAAGGAGAAUGGUGUGAACCCAGGAGGCAGAGGUUGCUUUGAGCCGAGAUUGCGCCACU